rnacentral:rRNA from 1 species
CAGUUCGGAUUGCAGCCUGCAACUCGGCUGCAUGAAGCUGGAAUCGCUAGUAAUCGCGGAUCAGAAUGCCGCGGUGAAUACGUUCCCGGGUCUUGUACACACCGCCCGUCACACCAUGGGAGUAGGUAAUGCCCGAAGUCGGUGACCUAACCGGAAGGAAGGAGCCGCCGAAGGCAGGACUUAUAACUGGGGUGAAGUCGUAACAAGGUAGC